rnacentral:rRNA from 1 species
UACGUAGGGUGCUAGCGUUAAUCGGAAUUACUGGGCGUAAAGCGCACGUAGGUGGCGACGUAAGUCGGGUGUGAAAGCCCCGGGCUCAACCUGGGAAUUGCAUUCGAGACUGCAUUGCUGGAGUACGGAAGAGGAGGGCGGAAUUCCCGGUGUAGCGGUGAAAUGCGUAGAUAUCGGGAGGAACAUCAGUGGCGAAGGCGGCCCUCUGGUCCAGUACUGACACUCAAGUGCGAAAGCGUGGGGAGCAAACAGG